rnacentral:rRNA from 1 species
CAGGGAUUGCCCUAGUAACGGCGAGUGAAGCGGCAACAGCUCAAAUUUGAAAUCUGGCCCUCGUGGUCCGAGUUGUAAUUUGUAGAGGAUGCUUUUGGUGCGGUGCCUUCCGAGUUCCCUGGAACGGGACGCCAGAGAGGGUGAGAGCCCCGUACGGUUGGACACCUACCCUAUAUAUAGCUCCUUCGACGAGUCGAGUAGUUUGGGAAUGCUGCUCUAAAUGGGAGGUAAAUUUCUUCUAAAGCUAAAUACCGGCCAGAGACCGAUAGCGCACAAGUAGAGUGAUCGAAAGAUGAAAAGCACUUUGAAAAGAGGGUUAAAUAGCACGUGAAAUUGUUGAAAGGGAAGCGUUUGCGACCAGACCUUUUCCCGGCGGAUCAUCUGGUGUUCUCACCGGUGCACUUCGCUUGGUUUAGGCCAGCAUCGGUUUCUUUAGGGGGAUAAAGGUGUUGGGAACGUAGCUCUUUCGGGAGUGUUAUAGCCCUUCACGUAAUACCCUUCGAGGGACCGAGGACCGCGCAUUGCAAGGAUGCUGGCGUAAUGGUCGUCAACGACCCGUCUUGAAACACGGACCAAGGAGUCGAACAUUUGUGCGAGUGUUUGGGUGUUAAACCCUCACGCGUAAUGAAAGUGAACGGAGGUGAGAGCCCUUACGGGUGCAUCAUCGACCGAUCCUGAUGUCUUCGGAUGGAUUUGAGUAAGAGCAUAACUGUUCGGACCCGAAAGAUGGUGAACUAUGCGUGGAUAGGGUGAAGCCAGAGGAAACUCUGGUGGAGGCUCGCAGCGGUUCUGACGUGCAAAUCGAUCGUCAAAUCUGCGCAUGGGGGCGAAAGACUA